ACUGAAGCUUGCACCCGAUCAACCUGCUGUGGAAAAAUCCCAGCUGGCCUCCGGACUUCGUCCAAAACAGUUUCUUUCAGCUUCACAUUCUUCGG